rnacentral:misc_RNA from 1 species
AAGGAUCAUUACCGAGUGCGGGCUGCCUCCGGGCGCCCAACCUCCCACCCGUGACUACCUAACACUGUUGCUUCGGCGGGGAGCCCCCUAGGGGCGAGCCGCCGGGGACCACUGAACUUCAUGCCUGAGAGUGAUGCAGUCUGAGCCUGAAUACAAAUCAGUCAAAACUUUCAACAAUGGAUCUCUUGGUUCCG